rfam:Felis catus isolate Cinnamon breed Abyssinian chromosome A1, whole genome shotgun sequence.
AUCUGGCUGGCUCAGUUGGUAGAGCAUGUGACUGUUGAUUCCAGGGUCCUGGGUUCAAAACCCAUGUUGGGUG